rnacentral:rRNA from 1 species
UACGAAGGGGGCUAGCGUUGUUCGGAAUUACUGGGCGUAAAGCGAACGUAGGCGGUGUUCCAUGUCAGAGGUGAAAGCCUGGGGCUCAACUCCAGAAUUGCCUUUGAAACGGGGACGCUUGAGUCCGAGAGAGGGUGGCGGAAUUCCUAGUGUAGAGGUGAAAUUCGUAGAUAUUAGGAAGAACACCAGUGGCGAAGGCGGCCACCUGGCUCGGUACUGACGCUCAGGUUCGAAAGCGUGGGGAGCAAGCAGG